GUUAUGCAUGUGGGAACGUAUCGAUGUUUUUAACUAUAUAACGUUCAUAAUUUUAGUUUAUUUACAUGGCACUAAGCUAAAAAAAAUGAAACUAGGAAAUCGGGCUUAGUGCAAUAAGGCCUAUGAGAUCUAGUAUUUAAUUUUUAUUCAAUUACA